rnacentral:rRNA from 1 species
AGAGUUUGAUCCUGGCUCAGAUUGAACGCUGGCGGCAUGCUUUACACAUGCAAGGCGAACGGCAGCACGGGUGCUUGCACCUGGUGGCGAGUGGCGAACGGGUGAGUAAUGCACCGGAACGUACCCAGUAAUGGGGGAUAACACAUCGAAAGAUGUGCUAAUACCGCAUACGCCCUGAGGGGGAAAGCGGGGGAUCGUAAGACCUCGCGUUAUUGGAGCGGCCGAUGCCGGAUUAGCUAGUUGGUGAGGUAAGAGCUCACCAAGGCGACGAUCCGUAGCUGGUCUGAGAGGACGACCAGCCACACUGGGGCUGAGACACGGCCCAGACUCCUACGGGAGGCAGCAGCGGGGAAUUUUGGACAAUGGGCGCAAGC